AAUGGUACCAGAGGCUUUUGUCUGUGGACUGGAAAUCUGGCCCAGGAUCUACAAAUGUUUGUUGAAUUAAGUUGAAUUGAACUUCAAAAAGCAGUUUCUCUGUAAGAAACAAAAUGAACUGUCUGAAAUACAGAGGAGGCGGCAGCAGCUGGAGCAGCCAUCUUAGCCCAUGAGAUGGAAGCCAGAUGUUGAGGAAGGCAGGACAACAAUAAGGAAGGGGCAAGGUCUGCGUGUUUAUGACCCACCAUUGUGUGAGGCUGCUGCCCGCCCCAGCCAGAGUGCUGGAUGCCCAGGGCCUGCAUCUGGGGACAAGAGUUG